rnacentral:hammerhead_ribozyme from 1 species
GUUCAUGUGACAAGUCCCGAAUAGGACGAAACGCGCGUCCUGGAU